rnacentral:ncRNA from 1 species
UCAGCGGCUGACGCCAGCCACCUUCCCGACCCGUCUUGAAACAGGACCAAGGAGUCUAACAUGUGCGCGAGCCGCGGGGCAGUACGAAACCCGUAAGGCGAAAUGAAGGUGAACGCCGGCGCGGUCCGGCGGAGGUUGGAUCCCGUCCCGUCGGGGCGGGCGCACUACCGGCCGAUCUUCUCCGCCCUGUCGGCGAGGUCGAGCGAGAGCGUGCAAGUCGGGACCCGAAAGAUGGUGAACUAUGCCUGAGGAGGUUGAAGCCAGAGGAAACUCUGGUGGAGGACCGUAGCGAUUCUGACGUGCAAAUCGAUCGUCAAAUUUGGGUAUAGGGGCGAAAGACUAAUCGAACCGUCUAGUAGCUGGUUCCCUUCGAAGUUUCCCUCAGGAUAGCUGGCGCUCUGUCGCAGUUUUAUCUGGUAAAGCGAAUGAUUAGAGGUCUUGGGGGCGAAACGCCCUCAACCUAUUCUCAAACUUUAAAUUGGUAAGAAGCCCGACUCGCUCGUUUGGAGCCGGGCAUGGAAUGCGAGUGCCAAGUGGGCCACUCUUGGUAAGCAGGACUGGCGAUGCGGGAUGAACCGAACGCCGGGUUAAGGCGCCCGACGCGACGCUCAUCAGAGCCCACAAAAGGUGUUGGUUGAUAUAGACAGCAGGACGGUGGCCAUGGAAGUCGGAAACCGCUAAGGAG